UCAGCUCUCUACUCAGCUAUAGCCCUGGGGGUAUGUGAAGGAAUGUGGGUGAUUAGACUCCUGAAGGAACUAAGAAUUCCUUAUGAAGGUCCAGUGAACCUUUGGUGUGACAACCAAGCCAAUAUAGAAAUGACCAA